rnacentral:rRNA from 1 species
UACGUAGGGUGCAAGCGUUAAUCGGAAUUACUGGGCGUAAAGCGUGCGCAGGUGGUCGUGCAAGACAGAUGUGAAAUCCCCGGGCUUAACCUGGGAACUGCAUUUGUGACUGCACGGCUAGAGUACGGCAGAGGGGGAUGGAAUUCCGCGUGUAGCAGUGAAAUGCGUAGAUAUGCGGAGGAACACCGAUGGCGAAGGCAGUCCCCUGGGCCAGUACUGACGCUCAUGCACGAAAGCGUGGGGAGCAAACAGG